AAGUCGUAACAAGGUUUCCGUAGGUGAACCUGCGGAAGGAUCAUUAAAAAUUUAUAUUCCGGGAAUUCGUUUCGUUUUUCCGGAUUAUUUGUAUUCAAAUCCCACUCUUUAUAAAUAUAUUAAUUAUAUAAAACAAAAAUAAAAAAGAAAACUUUCAACAACGGAUCUCUUGGCUCUC
rnacentral:misc_RNA from 1 species